rnacentral:rRNA from 1 species
UACAGAUGGUGCAAGCGUUAAUCGGAAUUACUGGGCGUAAAGCGCACGGAGGCGGUUUUUUAAGUCAGAUGUGAAAGCCCCGGGCUCAACCUGGGAAUUGCAUUUGAAACUGGGGAACUAGAGUGUGUGAGAGGGGGGUAGAAUUCCAAGUGUAGCGGUGAAAUGCGUAGAGAUUUGGAGGAAUACCAGUGGCGAAGGCGGCCCCCUGGCACAACACUGACGCUCAGGUGCGAAAGCGUGGGGAGCAAACAGG